GGCGAACGGGUGAGUAACACGUGGGUGACCUGCCCUCAGCUCUGGGAUAAGCCUGGGAAACUGGGUCUAAUACCGGAUAUGACCUUCCAUCGCAUGGUGGUUGGUGGAAAGUUUUUCGGCUGAGGAUGGGCCCGCGGCCUAUCAGCUUGUUGGUGGGGUGAUGGCCUACCAAGGCGACGACGGGUAGCCGGCCUGAGAGGGCGACCGGCCACACUGGGACUGAGACACGGCCCAGACUCCUACGGGAGGCAGCAGUGGGGAAUAUUGCGCAAUGGGCGAAAGCCUGGCGCAGCGACGCCGCGUGGGGGAUGACGGCCUUCGGGUUGUAAACCUCUUUCGACCGGGACGAAGAGAAAUUGACGGUACCGGUAGAAGAAGCACCGGCCAACUACGUGCCAGCAGCCGCGGUAAUACGUAGGGUGCGAGCGUUGUCCGGAAUUAUUGGGCGUAAAGAGCUCGUAGGCGGUGUGUCACGUCGGCCGUGAAAACUUGGGGCUUAACCCUGAGCUUGCGGUCGAUACGGGCAUCACUAGAGUUCGGCAGGGGAGACUGGAAUUCCUGGUGUAGCGGUGAAAUGCGCAGAUAUCAGGAGGAACACCGGUG
rnacentral:rRNA from 1 species